GGAAAUGUGCCCGAGCCCAAAGGACUAUUUUGAUAGAAUAGAUUACAGGAACCACACCUUCCUCAUUUCCC
rnacentral:tRNA from 1 species